AAGUCGUAACAAGGUUUCCGUAGGUGAACCUGCGGAAGGAUCAUUAUACGUUUAUCCAACGUACCAACCAACGCGCUCUCGUUUAAAACACAACCGAGUCUGUGCGCGAGCUUUCUUAGGCCAUCCAAAAUAUGGUGGGAGUCGCAAGGCUCUGUUUGGGUGGUCGAUCACGAACUCGCACAUAGCAACCAUUUUUUUUUAACUUUACAACGCAUUGUAAUCACUUGUACUAAUACGAAAAACAUCUGAUUCAUUUCAGGUGGAAUUAAGACAUUAAUUGCUGAACAACUCUUAGCAACGGAUAUCUUGGUUCUC
rnacentral:misc_RNA from 1 species